CGUGUGGCUCAGUUGGUAGAGCAUGGUGUUUGCAACGCCAGGGUUGUGGGUUCGAUUCCCAAUUAUG
rnacentral:tRNA from 1 species